AGUGAACGCUGGCGGUAGGCCUAACACAUGCAAGUCGAACGGCAGCACAGUAAGAGCUUGCUCUUACGGGUGGCGAGUGGCGGACGGGUGAGGAAUACAUCGGAAUCUACUUUUUCGUGGGGGAUAACGUAGGGAAACUUACGCUAAUACCGCAUACGACCUACGGGUGAAAGCAGGGGAUCUUCGGACCUUGCGCGAUUGAAUGAGCCGAUGUCGGAUUAGCUAGUUGGCGGGGUAAAGGCCCACCAAGGCGACGAUCCGUAGCUGGUCUGAGAGGAUGAUCAGCCACACUGGAACUAGGACACGGUCCAGACUCCUACGGGAGGCAGCAGUGGGGAAUAUUGGACAAUGGGCGCAAGCCUGAUCCAGCCAUACCGCGUGGGUGAAGAAGGCCUUCGGGUUGUAAAACCCUUUUGUUGGGAAAGAAAUCCAGCCGGCUAAUACCUGGUUGGGAUGACGGUACCCAAAGAAUAAGCACCGGCUAACUUCGUG
rnacentral:rRNA from 1 species